rnacentral:rRNA from 1 species
UACACGACCGUACCGCAAACCGACACUGGUGCGCGAGAUGAGUAUUCUAAGGCGCUUGAGAGAACUCAGGAGAAGGAACUCGGCAAAUUGACACCGUAACUUCGGAAGAAGGUGUGCCUUUAGUAGGUGAACCUGUACAAGGGGAGCCCAAUGAGGUUGCAAAAAAUCGGUGGCUGCGACUGUUAAAUAAAAACACAGCACUCUGCAAACACGAAAGUGGACGUAUAGGGUGUGACGCCUGCCCGGUGCUGGAAGAUUAAAUGAUGGGGUGCAAGCUCUUGAUUGAAGUCCCAGUAAACGGCGGCCGUAACAAUAACGGUCCUAAGGUAGCGAAAUUCCUUGUCGGGUAAGUUCCGACCUGCACGAAUGGCGUAACGAUGGCCACACUGUCUCCUCCUGAGACUCAGCGAAGUUGAAAUGUUUGUGAUGAUGCAAUCUCCCCGCGGAAAGACGGAAAGACCCCAUGAACCUUUACUGUAGCUUUGUAUUGGACUUUGAACAGAUCUGUGUAGGAUAGGUGGGAGGCUUUGAAGUGUGGUCGCUAGAACGCAUGGAGCCAACGUUGAAAUACCACCCUGGUGUGUUUGAGGUUCUAACCAAGGCCCGUAAUCCGGGUCGGGGACAGUGCAUGGUAGGCAGUUUGACUGGGGCGGUCUCCUCCCAAAGCGUAACGGAGGAGUUCGAAGGUACGCUAGGUACGGUCGGACAUCGUGCUAAUAGUGCAAUGGCAUAAGCGUGCUUAACUGCGAGACUGACAAGUCGAGCAGAUGCGAAAGCAGGACAUAGUGAUCCGGUGGUUCUGUAUGGAAGGGCCAUCGCUCAACGGAUAAAAGGUACUCUGGGGAUAACAGGCUGAUACCGCCCAAGAGUUCAUAUCGACGGCGGUGUUUGGCACCUCGAUGUCGGCUCAUCUCAUCCUGGGGCUGUAGCCGGUCCCAAGGGUAUGGCUGUUCGCCAUUUAAAGAGGUACGUGAGCUGGGUUUAAAACGUCGUGAGACAGUUUGGUCCCUAUCUUCCGUGGGCGCUGCAGAUUUGAGGAAGCCUGCUCCUAGUACGAGAGGACCGGAGUGGACACACCUCUGGUGUAUCGGUUGUCACGCCAGUGGCAUUGCCGAGUAGCUAUGUGUGGAAGAGAUAACCGCUGAAAGCAUCUAAGCGGGAAACUCGUUUCAAGAUGAGAUCUGCCGGGGCCUUGAGCCCCCUAAAGAGUCGUUCAAGACCAGGACGUUGAUAGGUCGGGUGUGGAAGCGCAGUAAUGCGUUAGCUAACCGAUACUAAUUGCUCGUGCGGCUUGACC